rnacentral:rRNA from 1 species
UUGAACGCUGGCGGAAUGCUUUACACAUGCAAGUCGAGCGGCAGCGCGGGGCAACCUGGCGGCGAGCGGCGAACGGGUGAGUAACAUAUCGGAACGUACCUAUUUGAGGGGGAUAACGCAGCGAAAGUUGUGCUAAUACCGCAUAAGACCUGAGGGUGAAAGUGGGGGACCGCAAGGCCUCCCGCGAAUAGAGCGGCCGAUAUCUGAUUAGCUAGUUGGUAGGGUAAAGGCCUACCAAGGCGACGAUCAGUAGCUGGUCUGAGAGGACGACCAGCCACACUGGGACUGAGACACGGCCCAGACUCCUACGGGAGGCAGCAGUGGGGAAUUUUGGACAAUGGGGGCAACCCUGAUCCAGCCAUGCCGCGUGAGUGAAGAAGGCCUUCGGGUUGUAAAGCUCGUUCGGCAGGAACGAAAAGGUUAGGGUGAAUAAUCCGAAUGGAUGACGGUACCUGAAGAAGAAGCACCGGCUAACUACGU